rnacentral:tRNA from 1 species
GCGGGUAUAGUUUAGUGGUAAAACCCUUAGCCUUCCAAGCUAACGAUGCGG